GGGGUUGUGGCUCAGAGGUAGAGCGCUCGCCUCACAUGUGAGAGGCACUGGGUUAGAUCCCCUCAGCACCA
rnacentral:tRNA from 1 species